GGGGCCUUAGCUCAGCUGGCAGAGCGCCUGCUUUGCAAGCAGGAUGUCAGGAGUUCGAAUCUCCUAGGCUCCACCA
rnacentral:tRNA from 2 species